GUCUUUGUAGUAUAAAUUAAUACCUCGGUCUUGUAAACCGAUAACGGAGAACCCUCUCCCCAAGACA
rnacentral:tRNA from 1 species